UGAAUUUAUCACUUUUUGCUGAUUUUGUUGUUCUAAAUUGUCAAAGGAACCGUGGUAGACACCAGCAUUUGUCACCCUAGGGAAUUUGAUUUUUACCUUAACAGCCAUGCAGGAAUUCAGGGGACUAGUCGACCAACGCAUUAUCAUGUGCUGUAUGAUGAAAAUAAAUUCACUGCAGACCAGCUACAGAGUUUGACCAAUAACUUGUUAUCUUGUAUGCAGUUCCUCCUGCCUAUUAUGCACACUUGCUAUUAUUCAUCAUGGGUGGAUGGGCGUUAUUUUGUUUAGUAUUGGUUAGAACUACUAGACAGCUUUUGGAUACAGUGGUCACUGGGUGUUGGUUGCUAUGGAUCUUUCGAGACUAAUAGUGUAUAUUGUUGUUGUACUUUUACUAAAUCAUGAAUAUGUUGUUGUAUAUUGUUGAUCAAAGAAUCAUAUAUUAAUGUUGUAUAUAUGAAGGAUUAAUGUUGUAUAUAAAUGGAUUCAUGUUGUAUAUAUCAAUGGAUUAAUGGUGUAUAACAUUGGAUUAAAGGAUGAAUUCAAUAUGAAUUUUACA